UGGGGGAUAUUGCACAAUGGGCGAAAGCCUGAUGCAGCGACGCCGCGUGGGGGAUGAAGGCUUUCGGGUUGUAAACCUCUUUCGCUAUCGAACAAGGCCCGCUUAGGGUGGGUUGAGGGCAGGUGGAGAAGAAGCGCCGGCUAACUACGUGCCAGCAGCCGCGGUAAUACGUAGGGCGCGAGCGUUGUCCGGAAUUAUUGGGCGUAAAGGGCUUGUAGGCGGCUUGUUGCGCCUGCUGUGAAAACGCGGGGCUUAACUUCGCGCGUGCAGUGGGUACGGGCAGGCUUGAGUGUGGUAGGGGUGACUGGAAUUCCAGGUGUGGCGGUGGAAUGCGCAGAUAUCUGGAGGAACACCGAUGGCGAAGGCAGGUCACUGGGCCAUUACUGACGCUGAGGAGCGAAAGCAUGGGUAGCGAACAGG
rnacentral:rRNA from 1 species